GCUAGUUUAGUCUAGAGCAUGAGACUCUUAAUCUCAGGACAUGGGUUCAAGCCUCAUAUUUGGCA
rnacentral:tRNA from 1 species